ensembl:lncRNA
GCUACUCACCAUUUUGGGCACCUUGUCAAAUAAACCAAGAGGCAAAGAGGGGUCAGUUCUGUGUCAGGGAAGUGUUUCAGCGGGGUAAUCCAGGGGAAAUAGGAUUGCUGUUUUACUAUGGGAGUAGGGAGAGGUCUUUCUGGAAUCUUCUGGGAAAAUUACUGUUUGGAAGUUUAAAUAUGGAGAGAAGACCGUACACCGCCUUCUUACCUUCCUUACUGUCCUGGUGAUCCCAUCAGAGGACAGUUUUCCAAAGUUCCUCUGCUUCACAGACCUUGGAAUUUCAUAUUGAGCUAAUUCAAGCGAGUUCUCCAAGAGGAAGUGCAGUUCCUUCCUGCGAAGAGCUCCGGGCUCCCCCCGGUGGCUAUUAUGGGUAUCGCUCCCCCAGGCCCUGCUUCAUUUAUCCCCGAGUUUUCCAAUUUCCCGCUUUCUCUCUUAGAACUCGGCCUUCCUCGAACUUAGCUUUCUCGGCUCUUGCUUCUCGGCUUUUUCUGACCGUUUAUUCAUUCGGAGUCUGCUUUCGGCAUGACGCCUACCAACGGCUCUGGCCCCCAGUACAGGCCACACAGAGCUGGUCAUUGUUGCCCCAGUUCUGGGACCACCCGGGUGGGAGAAGGGGCAGCGCGCCGCCGCGGAGGCCGGAUGACUGACAGCAGCCUCAGGUCAAGUGCCCCGCGGGCCACCCGGAAGGAGCGCGGGUGCCCCCUCCACGUCCCCCUUUGCCCCUUCCAGCGCGAAAUGAGCCCUUCCUUCAGACCCACACAAUUAACAGCAGUAAAAUCUUUAUUUUCAACACUCUGUAUAUGAAUAAAGAC